AUGAACGCUAGCUACAGGCUUAACACAUGCAAGUCGAGGGGCAGCAUGGUCUUAGCUUGCUAAGGCCGAUGGCGACCGGCGCACGGGUGAGUAACACGUAUCCAACCUGCCGUCUACUCUUGGACAGCCUUCUGAAAGGAAGAUUAAUACAAGAUGGCAUCAUGAGUCCGCAUGUUCACAUGAUUAAAGGUAUUCCGGUAGACGAUGGGGAUGCGUUCCAUUAGAUAGUAGGCGGGGUAACGGCCCACCUAGUCUUCGAUGGAUAGGGGUUCUGAGAGGAAGGUCCCCCACAUUGGAACUGAGACACGGUCCAAACUCCUACGGGAGGCAGCAGUGAGGAAUAUUGGUCAAUGGGCGAGAGCCUGAACCAGCCAAGUAGCGUGAAGGAUGACUGCCCUAUGGGUUGUAAACUUCUUUUAUAAAGGAAUAAAGUCGGGUAUGGAUACCCGUUUGCAUGUACUUUAUGAAUAAGGAUCGGCUAACUCCGUGCCAGCAGCCGCGGUAAUACGGAGGAUCCGAGCGUUAUCCGGAUUUAUUGGGUUUAAAGGGAGCGUAGAUGGAUGUUUAAGUCAGUUGUGAAAGUUUGCGGCUCAACCGUAAAAUUGCAGUUGAUACUGGAUAUCUUGAGUGCAGUUGAGGCAGGCGGAAUUCGUGGUGUAGCGGUGAAAUGCUUAGAUAUCACGAAGAACUCCGAUUGCGAAGGCAGCCUGCUAAGCUGCAACUGACAUUGAGGCUCGAAAGUGUGGGUAUCAAACAGGAUUAGAUACCCUGGUAGUCCACACGGUAAACGAUGAAUACUCGCUGUUUGCGAUAUACUGCAAGCGGCCAAGCGAAAGCGUUAAGUAUUCCACCUGGGGAGUACGCCGGCAACGGUGAAACUCAAAGGAAUUGACGGGGGCCCGCACAAGCAGUGGAGUAUGUGGUUUAAUUCGACGCAACGCGAAGAACCUUACCAAGUCUUGACAUCCUGCGACGAUGCUGGAAACAGUAUUUUCCUUCGGGACGCAGAGACAGGUGGUGCAUGGUUGUCGUCAGCUCGUGCCGUGAGGUGUCGGCUUAAGUGCCAUAACGAGCGCAACCCUUGUUGUCAGUUACUAACAGGUUCCGCUGAGGACUCUGACAAGACUGCCAUCGUAAGAUGUGAGGAAGGUGGGGAUGACGUCAAAUCAGCACGGCCCUUACGUCCGGGGCUACACACGUGUUACAAUGGGGGGUACAGAGGGCCGCUACCACGCGAGUGGAUGCCAAUCCCCAAAACCUCUCUCAGUUCGGACUGGAGUCUGCAACCCGACUCCACGAAGCUGGAUUCGCUAGUAAUCGCGCAUCAGCCACGGCGCGGUGAAUACGUUCCCGGGCCUUGUACACACCGCCCGUCAAGCCAUGGGAGCCGGGGGUACCUGAAGUGCGUAACCGCGAGGAGCGCCCUAGGGUAAAACUGGUGACUGGGGCU
rnacentral:rRNA from 1 species